rnacentral:tRNA from 2 species
GGAGAGGUGUCCGAGCGGCUUAAGGAGCGCGCUUGGAAAGCGCGUAUGUCGGUAUCCCCGGCAUCGAGGGUUCGAAUCCCUCCCUCUCCGCCA